UCCAGGGUGUAAACGCUGCUCGCUUGAUGUUAGGUGGGCUCCGUGCCUACCUAGUGUCGGAGAGAAGUUGUUAAGCGAGCUGCCUGGGGAGUACGGCCGCAAGGCUGAAACUUAAAGGAAUUGGCGGGGGAGCACAGCAACGGGUGGAGCGUGCGGUUUAAUUGGAUUCAACGCCGGAAAGCUCACCGGGGGAGACUGCCGUAUGUGGGUCAGGCUGAAGACCUUACCCGAAC
rnacentral:rRNA from 1 species